GCCCCCAUAGCUCAGCUGGAUAGAGCAAACGUUUCCUAAACGUUAGGCCGCAGGUUCGAGUCCUGCUGGGGGCACCA
rnacentral:tRNA from 1 species